ACAGAUUUGCUGCUGGUGUUGGCCAAGUGUAGCAUCUGAUCUUAAAAGUUUAAUAUCUGAUAUGCCCUUGAUGAGAGGAUUUUUAUAUUAAACAGACUUUGGGUCAUGGGAGCUGGAUCUGGAGCUUGCUCUGUCUGCUUCAUGCAUUGCCCCAGCAUUGCAGUGACUCUGGGAAUGAUGCACUGAUA
rnacentral:snRNA from 1 species